AUUAUAGGUGUGAGCCACUGUGCCUGGCCAGAAAAAAACAACUUCUAAACAGGCCAUGUCCAGGAAGAACAGAGCCUGCUCUUCCAAACGUAAAUUUUGCCAACAAAGUAUUGGCAU